rnacentral:misc_RNA from 1 species
ACCGGCUCGGUACAGUUAUCCCGACAGCGGCGGCGCUCGGCGGCGAGAACACUCGGCGUCCGGCCUCCCCGGCGCUCCGUCCGUCCGUCCGCGGCUCGAGAGCCGACCCGGCCGCCCUGCCGUGCCCACCGCUCGUCCCAGCCACCUCGGUGAAAGGCGCCCAGGUGUGAUCAGCCAUGGCGCUGUCGUCGUAUUUCCGUCGUCACGGUCAGAUGUGCGCCUCCCACCAGUGGGAGGUGAUUGUCAGCAUCAUCACCUUCACCGUGUGCAUGCUGACCGUCAACGACCGGCGCGCGGCUCUGCACUGGCCCGACCGGGCACCCUGCAAAAUACCCCAGGAGUAUUUCGGUGCUGACGCCGUCGUGAUGACGGCUGUACGCUGUAUCGCCCUGCUCUACACUUACCACCAGUUCCGGAAGCUGCGCGCGCUCGGCUCCAAGUACAUCCUCGGCCUGGCGGGACUUUUCACGGUCAUCUCCACUGCCGUGUUCACAUCGAGCAUCAUCAACUUCAUGCACAGUGACAUGACAGACCUCAAGGACGCGCUGUUCUUUUUCCUGCUGCUGAUCGACCUCUCCAAGGUGACGCGCCUGGCGCAGUACGCGCUCGCCUCGCGACGCCUGGACGAGGUCGAGGUCAACAUUGCGCGCGGGAUGCAGGUGCUGGGGCCUCAGAUGACGCUCGACGUGCUGGUCGAGGUGCUGCUCAUCAGUGUCGGCACCCUCUCAGGCGUGUACCGUCUGGAGGUGCUCUGCUGCUACGCCUGUAUGUCUGCCGUCAUCAGCUACCUCAUGUUCAUGACCUUCUACCCGGCCUGCCUCUCGCUCGUCCUCGAGAUGUCCAGCGACGUCGGCUCGGAGACGCAGCCGUGGCAGCUCAAGUCGCUGACCAACCUGCUGCAGGAGGACGAACAAAAGCCCAACAUCGUCAUCCAGCGCGUCAAGAUCAUCAUGUCCAUCGGCCUGACGUUCGUCCACUUUGUCAGCCGGUGGCCGAGCGUGUCCACUGACGCGGUGGACUCUGUGUUCGGCGCCGCCGCCGGUCCCGGUAGCUGUGACGCGCCCAUCCCUAGUCCGUACAGCGUGCUGCUCAGGUGGAUGAGUGUCAGCGCCGAGCACCUGGUGGUGCUCAUUAUCGUGGUGGCGCUGGUGGUCAAAUACGUGCUGUUCGAGGCGCCGGACGCCGAGCAGAUCCAGCUCAAGGUCCAGGCAGAGGACCAGGCCAUGCUUCGCGCGCUGCGUCCGCAGCUGCGCCGACGCUGCACCUCUGUCCUCAUCACCGAGGACUCUGACGGGGAGGUCAAGGUGGACGAGCUGCCGCCGCCGGCCGCCUCCUCUGACGCCAGCUGCCAGACCCCCGCGUUCACCGGCGCCGAAUCCGCCGCCGAGUCCGCUGCGGAGUCCGCUGCGGAGGAGGGUACCGCGGCGGCGGCCGGCGGAGAGCGGGAAUCGGAGGGAGAGGAGCCAGCCGAGCCGGCGCCGCCCCGGACUCUGGACGAGUGCGUCCAGAUACUUGAGGACGAGGGUCCGGACGCGCUCUCAGACGCCGAGCUGCUGGUGCUGCUGCGCGCGCGCAAACUGCGCGCCUACCAGCUGGAAGCGCGCCUGGGCGACGCGCAGCGGGCCGUGGCCGUGCGCCGGCAGCACGUGACCGAGACGGGACGGCUGGCCGACGCGCUGGACGAACUGCCGCACCAGGGCUUCGAGUACGAGCGCGUGAUGGGCGCCUGCUGCGAGAACGUGGUGGGCUACAUGCCGCUGCCGCUGGGCGUGGUGGGGCCGCUGCUGCUCGACGGCCGCCAGUACUACGUGCCGUUGGCCACCACCGAGGGAGCGCUGGUGGCGAGCACCAACCGCGGCUGUGUGGCCGUCAGAAAGUGUGGCGUCAACAGCUACAUCGUGGGUGACGGGAUGACGCGGGCGCCCGUCAUCGAGUGCCAGUCCGCCAGACAGGCCAGUGAUAUCCUGUACUGGCUGGAGACGACCGACGGCUUCCACGCUGUGAAGGCGGCCUUCGACUCGACGUCGCGGUUCGCCCGGCUCAGCAAGGUCGAGGUGAACAUGUUCGGUCGGCAGCUGUUUGUGCGCUUCGUGGCCAAGACUGGUGACGCCAUGGGCAUGAACAUGGUCUCCAAGGGUACGGAGAAGGCUCUGGAACACCUUCAGGAGACGUUCCCCGGCAUCUUUGUCACGAGCGUCAGCAGCAACGUGUGCACGGACAAAAAGCCGUCAGCCAUCAACUGGACGCGCGGCCGCGGCAAGUCGGUCAUCUGCGAGGCCGUCGUCCCGGCGGAGGUGGUGACCAGCGUGCUCAAGACGUCGGUGCCGGCCAUGGUGAACCUGUGCAUCAGGAAGAACCUGAUCGGCUCGGCGGUGGCCGGCAGCAUCGGCGGCAACAACGCGCACGCGGCCAACAUCGUCACGGCCAUCUACAUCGCCACCGGACAGGACCCGGCCCAGAACGUGUGCAGCAGCAACUGUAUGACGCUGCUGGAGCCGUGGGGAGAGACGGGCGAGGACCUCUACGUCACGUGCACAAUGCCCUGUGUCGAGGUGGGCACCGUGGGCGGCGGCACCAUCCUCAAGGCGCAGAGGGCCUGCCUCAAGAUGCUCGGCUGCCAGGGCGCCAACACGGACUGCCCCGGCCAGAACGCCCGCCAGCUGGCCAGUAUCGUCUGUGCCACGGUGCUGGCCGGUGAACUGUCCCUGAUGGCCGCGCAGAGCGCCGGACACCUGGUCAAGAGCCACAUGACACUCAACAGGAACGCGACUCCGCGCACCAGUCGCCAGGAGGCGCUCAACCGCUAGCCGAACGAUGCACCAUUGGCUAGCCGAAUACUGUGCGCCGGCCAAACGGGUGUCCAUCUCCCUCCCAGCGGAAGGAGCGCCCUUUCUGAUCGCAGCCGCCGGGCCCCGGUAAGACCUCUGCACCUACCGACGACCGCGGAACGGAUCGCCAAUGACGGGCUUCCAGCACCUGUGUUCAGCGCAGGGGCACGGCGACGACCGGCCGUCCCUCUGAUGGACGGAGUCUCGGGUCGAUGGGGGGCGAGGAGCAGACUCCACUGUGCCUGCAGGACGCCCCAGGCCGAGCAGGUGCGUGUCAGUGUCAGGGAACGACCAUGACCCAGCGGGUGUAAACGCUGGACGGACGGUGACUACUCGCCGGUGUGUGCCCGUGAGAGUUCCGGGUGUACGUCACAGACUCUGUGUGAGAGCACGAGUGAAGAACGGGUUUUAGCGGAGAGAGAGGACUCCGGGGAGAAUGUGUUUGCCAGAGUCUGGCCAGGGAGUGCGCUGUGUGUGUGUGUGCGUGUGCGUGCGUGCGCGCCUGACCGCUGGCCGGCGGGCGGUGCGCGCGCCUCGUCAGCCUUCCUCUGCCUGUCUGUUACUGUGGGGAGGCCGCCAGUGCCUGUGUAACCGCCGGUCAGGUCAGGUCAGGUCGUGUCGGCCGUGGCGGCGGGGCGGGUCCCUUGGAGCACCGGCCGGCGGCAGUAGUGGCGCCUGCUCAGGCUCGGGAGUGUCUUUCAUCCCGUUAGUUCCAAAGCGGUAUGUGUGAGAUGAUCGAGAUCCAGGUCGUAAGUAGAGAUAUUUCUUAGUCUUAGCGUUCGUAGCUUUAUUUUCGUGAUUUUCGUGGGUUUGGUGUAUACUGUACCGGUAUGGCUGCCUUCCUCAAUGUACGGUUUUCACGUAAGAUAUUAGAGGAUGUUGGCUGGCUUAUUGAGCAGACCUAGUUUUGAUGUAUGUUUUAUUGUUAAGGGUAGUGCGCCAUUUUACAUGUGAGAUGUGAUGGAAACCACACCGCGCAGCUAUGCUGUUAUUUAUUUAUUUAUCACGGAUUUUGACAUUUCUGAAGGGGCGCUCACUGUUUUAUAUUUAUCUGCGACCUCGCUGUUUGGACGUUUUAUUACAACUGAUUUUCCACGAGCUGAAUUUGAAAAUAAGAAUUCUGUUUUGACUGUUAUGCACUAAUGUCAGGUAAGGUCGAUCAAAUGCUAAGUUAUUGACGAUAAUUUUUUAGUCUGAUUAGUUAAUCUAAUUAAUGUGUGAAGCUCUCUGCGUCUCAAUGCGUAAGUGCGUACAACCAUUAAAGUUAGUGCAUACUCUUAUGUUUGCGAGAAUACGAACAACGCUAUUCGAAUGCGAGAAUACGACCGAUGUCUUGUGCUCUCCGCUGUGCCCCGGUGUCACACAGCUGUGUCUGUCCGGUGUAACAUCAUGUCGACCCGGUGUGUCCUGAGACACUGUGUCGGCCCGCUGUGUCCCGGUGACACUGUGUCGGCCCGCUGUGUCCCGGUGACACUGUGUCGGCCCGCUGUGCCCCGGUAACACUGUGUCGACCCCGGUGUAGCACCAUGUCGGCCCGCUGUGUCCGGUCACAGAGCAGGUACCGGCCCCGCUGUGUCCGGUCACAGAGCAGGUACCGGCCCCGCUGUGUCCGGUCACAGAGCAGGUACCGGCCCCGCUGUGCCCGGUCGCCCGCCGCGCUGACACCGUCCGUGCCGAGAUCUGACCCCAGUGCCGGUGAGAGUGUGAGAGGGUCGCCACGCGAAUCUGUUUCAGUCUUUGACACACAGUCGAGACUAUGCGGCUGCGGCCAGCAGUCAACACUGGAUCUGUAUUUAUUUUGGCAUAACUUAAUACACAGCCACUGAUGCUAUGCUAUAA